rnacentral:rRNA from 1 species
UAAGGAAUAUUGGUCAAUGGACGCAAGUCUGAACCAGCCAUGCCGCGUGGAGGAUGAAGGUCCUCUGGAUUGUAAACUUCUUUUAUCUGGGACGAAACACUUCUUUUCUAAGAGGCCUGACGGUACCAGAUGAAUAAGCACCGGCUAACUCCGUGCCAGCAGCCGCGGUAAUACGGAGGGUGCAAGCGUUAUCCGGAUUCACUGGGUUUAAAGAGUGCGUAGGUGGGUAUGUAAGUCAGUGGUGAAAUCCCCGAGCUUAACUUGGGAACUGCCAUUGAUACUAUAUAUCUUGAAUACCGUAGAGGUAAGCGGAAUAUGUCAUGUAGCGGUGAAAUGCUUAGAUAUGACAUGGAACACCAAUUGCGAAGGCAGCUUACUAUGCGGUGAUUGACACUGAGGCACGAAAGCGUGGGUAGCAAACA